UGCCAGCAGCCGCGGUAAGACGGAGGGCGCAAACGUUGUUCGGGAUCACUGGGCAUAAAGAGCGCGUAGGCGGCUUGCUAAGUCGGAUGUGAAAGCCCUCGGCCCAACCGGGGAACUGCAUCCGAUACUGGCAGGCUCGAGGACGGUAGGGGUAAGUGGAACUCCAGGUGGAACGGUGAAAUGUGUAGAUAUCUGGAGGAACACCGGUGGCGAAAGCGACUUACUGGACCGUCUCUGACGCUGAGGUGCGAAAGCUAGGGUAGCGAACGGGAUUAGAUA
rnacentral:rRNA from 1 species